AUUUGAAUUACUUGGGGAUCUUGUUAAAAUGCAGAUUUUUAUUCAAUGGGUCCAGGUGGGGUCUGAGAUUCUGUAUCUUUAACAAGCCCCUAGGUGAUGUCCAU
rnacentral:pre_miRNA from 1 species